UAGUCAUAUGCUUGUCUUAAAGAUUAAGCCAUGCAUGUCUAAGUAUAAGCAUCUUAUACGGCGAAACUGCGAAUGGCUCAUUAAAUCAGUUAUAGUUCAUUUGAUAAUACCUCAAAAAACUACUUGGAUAACCGUAGUAAUUCUAGAGCUAAUACAUGCUAAAAGCCUCGACUUUUGUGGGAGAGGUGCAUUUGUUAGAUACAAAAAACCAAUACUGGUGGGGGGCAACUCUGCCAGUUCUCUUUGGUGACUCAUGACAACUUUGCGAAUCGCAUGG
rnacentral:rRNA from 1 species